GGUGGUGUAGUUCAGUGGUAGAAUACUUGUCUACCAGACAGGAAGCCCUGGGCUCCAGCCCUAACACCACAC
rnacentral:tRNA from 1 species